CCUACGGGAGGCAGCAGUGGGGAAUAUUGCACAAUGGGGGAAACCCUGAUGCAGCGACGCCGCGUGAGUGAAGAAGUAAUUCGUUAUGUAAAGCUCUAUCAGCAGGGAAGAAAAUUACGGUACCUGAGUAAGACUCCCCGGCUAACUACGUGCCAGCAGCCGCGGUACUACGUAGGUGGCCGGCGUUGUCCGGAUUUACUGGGUGUAAGGGGCGUGCAGCCGGGAAGAAAAGUCAGAUGUGAAAUCCCGCGGCUCAACCGCGGAACUGCAUUUGAAACUGUCUUUCUUGAGUACAGGAGAGGUCAUCGGAAUGCCGUGUGUAGCGGUGAAAUGCGUAGAUAUAAGGAAGAACACCAGUGGCGAAGGCGGAUGACUGGACGGAAACUGACGGUGAGGCGCGAAAGCGUGGGGAGCAAACAGGAUUAGAUACCCUGGUAGUC
rnacentral:rRNA from 1 species